rnacentral:tRNA from 1 species
GGGUAGCUCCCUCAAGUUGGUGGAUAUGGUUGUACGGAGGACCGGAAGAACCGGCAGCGUCACAGGUUCGAAUCCUGUGUCACCA